rnacentral:rRNA from 1 species
AUUGAACGCUGGCGGCAGGCCUAACACAUGCAAGUCGAGCGAGCGGCGGACGGGUGAGUAAUGUAUGGGGACUGCCCGAUAAAGGGGGAUAACUACUGGAAACGGUGGCUAAUACCGCAUACUAUCGGAUAACCCAUAUGGGAUUAGCUAGUUGGUGGGGUAAAGGCGAACCUAGGCGACGAUCUCCAGCUGGUCUGAGAGGAUGACCAGCCACACGGGGGCUGGGACACGGCCCAGACUCCUACGGAGGCAGCAGUGGGGAAUAUUGGACAAUGGGCGCAAGCCUGAAGCAGCCAUGCCGCGUGUAUGAAGAAGGCCUUAGGGUUGUAAAGUACUUUCAGCGGGGAGGCGUUACCCGCAGAGGAAGCACCGGCUAACUCCGUGCCAGCAGCCGCGGUAAUUC